AGGAGAUACAGGUGAGGAUUGGCUUUCCAGUGCAGAUGACUUUGAUGGUAUAGCAGAAUCUGCCAGAGUCAUGAAUAUAUUCUUCAUACAUCUUACCAUCUCCUCUGAAAGUUGAUUAGGGUAAUCCCAGAGGCCCUUAGUUGGUAAUCCUUUUGGAAUCUUCUUGAACUCUACAGGUUGAGCAGGUUUGGAGACCAUCUUCACAGAUACUUUGUCAUCCAAAAGUGCAAUUGACUUCACUGCAUGCUGACCCAAAACACCACAUAUUAACUGCCAACUACUCCAGCGAUAAUAUUUCUGGAAAAGGUUCAUCACACUACCCAUUUGAAAUUAUUAAUUUCUUUAUAGCAAAGAAACAUUCAUUUCAGGUAUCAUAAUCUUCAUCUUUCAGAGUGG
rnacentral:lncRNA from 1 species